rnacentral:lncRNA from 1 species
GAAAUAUCAGGAAUGUCAAAAUUCUUGUAUAUUCCAGUGCUAGAGCGAAAGCCAGGAAAACAAGAUGUAGAGAACCACAUUUUUAUUUUUCACUGGCCAGUUUGGCCAGCUUCAUUCCGACCUUGCACUUUGUUGCAUUAACGACCACUGGAAUUCGUUAAUUGAAUUAGCUUGGUGAUUUACUUAUAUUGAAAGAUUUUGAACUUGUAUUAAUGCAGCUUAAAAUAAUGCAUGUAAAAAAAUUUACAAUGACAUUUUAAGGUGGCAGGCUUGCAGUUGACUAGCAGAUCACUUGAUGGUAUGAGCUCACGUUUCAACCGAGCUUCCACGCACAAAUCAGUUGCACAUUUUUCUUUCAUUGUUUAGAUUUUCAUAAACAUAAGUACCGUUUCUUUUUUGUCGGGCUUCUAGUUGUGUCGUAGGACCUAACUGUUUACCUUUAUUUGUAUUGGUAGCCGUGUUACUCAGACAGCUCAUUUUUUAUUGUAAAUCGUGACAUGGUAGGACUAAGAACAAUUGUGCAAAUUUGUUGCAGGUACACUCUGGCGGCUCCUACUCCUGCGUCCUACCACCACCCUGUCCUGACUACGUCCACUUGGGAGUUGGGAGCCUUUGGCAGCUUCUGCCACUGCAUCCUGCCGCCACCAUGACCCGACUACGUCCACUAGGGAGUUGGCAGGCUUAGUGAUGAUGCCAGCAGGCUGACAGCCGACAGAAAGAUUCAGGUUGCCUCGAAAUUUUACCCAAGCCAUGCCGCACACUUGGGCCAGGCCUCUUGCGAACGACGUAUAACCAGGCUCAAUGCAUCAGUGUCGAGUGAGUCCGGAGAUCAAGGCAACCUGCUGUGCAACCAGCGUGCAACCUUUGGUGACCCCUCUGAUGUUCUACCUAUUUCAUAGCUGUGCCUCACCUACCAUCUAUCCAAACAGCAUCACCAUCUGUGAUCACUUAUCGAACCAUGGAUGAAUGUUGGGGUGGAGUGAUUUGAACAGACAUUCUAUUUGUCUCUUCAAAUUCUUUGCAAAUAUUUCUGCUAUUAUAAU